rnacentral:rRNA from 1 species
CACAAGCGGUGGAGUAUGUGGUUAAUUCGAUGCAACGCGAAAACCUUACCUGCCCUUGACAUCCUCGGAACUUGUCAGAGAUGACUUGGUGCCUUCGGGAACCGAGAGACAGGUGCUGCAUGGCUGUCGUCAGCUCGUGUCGUGAGAUGUUGGGUUAAGUCCCAUAACGAGCGCAACCCUUAUCGUUAGUUGCCAGCUGGUAAAGCAGGGGACUCUAGCGAAACUGCCACCGUAAGGUGAGAGGAAGGUGGGGAUGACGUCAAAUCAGCACGGCCCUUAUGUCCAGGGCUACACACGUGUUACAAUGGCCGGCACAGAGGGCAGCUACCUGGUGACAGGAUGCUAAUCUCGAAAACCGGUCUCAGUUCGGAUCGAAGUCUGCAACUCGACUUCGUGAAGCUGGAUUCGCUAGUAAUCGCGCAUCAGCCAUGGCGCGGUGAAUACGUUCCCGGGCCUU